rnacentral:tRNA from 1 species
GCACAAGUGGCGGAAUUGGUAGACGCGUUAGCUUGAGGGGCUAAUGGGAUUCGUCCUGUGGAGGUUCAAGUCCUCUCUUGUGUA